GAUGAACGCUGGCGGCGUGCCUAAUACAUGCAAGUCGAGCGAACAGACGAGGAGCUUGCUGCUCUGACGUUAGCGGCGGACGGGUGAGUAACACGUGGAUAACCUACCUAUAAGACUGGGAUAACUUCGGGAAACCGGAGCUAAUACCGGAUAAUAUAUUGAACCGCAUGGUUCAAUAGUGAAAGACGGUUUUGCUGUCACUUAUAGAUGGAUCCGCGCCGCAUUAGCUAGUUGGUAAGGUAACGGCUUACCAAGGCAACGAUGCGUAGCCGACCUGAGAGGGUGAUCGGCCACACGGGAACUGAGACACGGUCCAGACUCCUACGGGAGGCAGCAGUAGGGAAUCUUCCGCAAUGGGCGAAAGCCUGACGGAGCAACGCCGCGUGAGUGAUGAAGGUCUUCGGAUCGUAAAACUCUGUUAUUAGGGAAGAACAAAUGUGUAAGUAACUAUGCACGUCUUGACGGUACCUAAUCAGAAAGCCACGGCUAACUACGUG
rnacentral:rRNA from 1 species